rnacentral:rRNA from 1 species
GACGAACGCUGGCGGCGUGCUUAACACAUGCAAGUCGAACGGAAAGGCCCUGCUUUUGUGGGGUGCUCGAGUGGCGAACGGGUGAGUAACACGUGAGUAACCUGCCCUUGACUUUGGGAUAACUUCAGGAAACUGGGGCUAAUACCGGAUAUGAGCUCCUGCUGCAUGUUGUGGGUUGGAAAGUUUCGGCGUUUGGGGAUGGACUCGCGGCUUAUCAGCUUGUUGGUGGGGUAGUUGCUUACCAAGGCUUUGACGGGUAGCCGGCCUGAGAGGGUGACCGGCCACAUUGGGACUGAGAUACGGCACAGACUCCUAAGGGAGGCAGAAGUGGGAAAUAUUGAACAAUGGGCGGAAGCCUGAUGCAGCAACGCCGCGUGCGGGAUGACGGCCUUAGGGUUGUAAACCGCUUUCGCAUGUGACGAAGCGUGAGUGACGGUAAUGGGUAAAGAAGCACAGGCUAAAUACGUG